CUUCACCUGUCUCUAAUCUACUUUCCUCAUUAUAAGGAGCCCAGUUCCGCUCUAUGGUUCACACUGAGGAUCAUCAAUGGACUACCUGCAUUAUGAAUUCUACCGACUUGCUGGUUUGUGCUGUUCCUCAAGCCCCUCUGUCUUGCGUAUUCAAUCUAAUAAAGUGUCUAAAGACACUAAGGUUUCCAACUCAUGGUCCAUGAGGGACACAGCUGCUAUAAACUUUUAACUAUUAAAAUUAAGGAUCGCUAAACUCAAUACAGUAUGUGGUUUUUGCAUUUUUAAAGUACACUUUUAUAAAUAAAUACCCUGAAUUCAGGUUUUUAUUAGUUAUAAUAAGGAAAACAUCUUAGAAAAAAAAUGUAUUUGAUUAGUUGCAGCUCUACAUUGAAGUACACAGAGUCACACCAGACCAGGGAGCAGACAUUCAGUCUGCAAACGUGAUUAUAUUAUUGUUUAUUGUGAUUUUUUUAUUGGCAAAUUACUGUAAAUAUUUCAGAUUCAUGUUUUUUUACACCUGCUCUUAUACAAAAAUGAUUACAAGUUAAAACCUUGAUGUACAUAUGAUUGUACCAACAACCUCGAAAAAUUCAUCUCAAAUGUUUUCUUGAGAUGUUGUAAUGUGUGAUGAUCCAGAAUAGUCCUGAUGGUAUUUAAUAAUCCACAAUUUUAGUCUUUUGACAUGUUAACUUACAAAUAUUAAUGAAACCAGCAAAUGGUCAGUGUUUACCUAAUGAAAGUGACUGAAAACUAAUGUUUGUCUUUCUUGUCUUCCUCACCCUCCUGAGUAAUAUAUUAACAAAACAGGACAUGAUGAUGGACAAACUGCAAAUCAUCUUCAAGACCCUUCAGAGUAUAAAAUCAGCUGAUGAGUCAGAGACCUGGAUUCAUAAUUUGUUGCCACCUCAAGAUUUGAGUUCUCUUCAGGACAUGGAGGAAGAGCUGCAUAGUGAUUCUGACCUCCAGAAACAAAAGACAUCAGCUUCUCCAGGCAUUUCUUCAUUCUGGUGAGUUCUUCCCUCAUACUAUUGUCGCAGACAAGGCAACAGAGUUUGUAGUGAGUGACUACAAUGACAUCAUUAGGGAAGCUGUAGCUGGAUAUGAUUUUCAGCCUGAAAACACUAUGGUUGCUCAUGAAGCAACUGUUAAAGGAACAACAUACAAAACAAACAUAUAUGUUGUUAUUCAGGAAACUGAUGAAGGCAUUACUGUGGGAAGGAUUGUGAUGACAGUCAUACAGAAUUCAGUGUAUUUCAUCACUGAACUUUUUCAAACGUCCAUGAUCCAUAACAUGGGUGUUUACUGCUUGACAGCAAAAAAUGGUUCCUACUCAUGUGUUAAUCAGAAUGACCUUCUGGAUUAUUAUCCAUUGUCCAAGUACACAGUCUUCGAUAUGUCUGUAAUAGUUCAUCAUUCUCUUCUCUUAAUGUAGAACAAUGUCUUGCUUGGUGGAAGAAUUAAGGGGAAUCAUCCUCAGGGCUUUGCCGACAAAUGUUGAGAACACCACCGAGCUUUUGAUUGAGAGACUUUUAGAGUCGGGAGUGAAGCCCAAAGAUGAUCGACAAUUUGUUCAAGAACAUGACCUCAGUAUGGUUUAUAAAAGUCAGAAAACUCCAAGAAUGUGUCAGUGUGCUCAGGGUCAUAUCUGUCCAAGCAUCUCAUUGCCAGGGUGAUUGCGAGGUAUGACAACUUUUCUCGAAACACUCAGUGUACUUGUAUAGCACUGCAGUUUCUGGCCUACCAGAGCGAGGGAACAGAGUUUACAAUGCAGCACCUUGAUCUGGAGGAAGGAGAUGCAUUGUAUACAUUCAGUAAAAUGCAGCUCAUUAAUGCAAAUGAACUUCAAAAUGACCACCUGAAUAUGGACGAAGUGCCAGAGCUUGUCACAACAUGUAAUCAGACAAACAAUGUUAUGAAAUCCGAAGCAAUGUUGGGAUGCCUCAGAUCCAGUGAGUUCUCUGGAGAAUCCUGGUUUAAGACUCUACCUGAAAGACUGACAGAGUGUCUAACAUCAGAUGUCAUGCAUGCACUCCUUAUUGUAAGUCCAGAGUGUAUUGCUAUCUUCAGAAACACCUCUGGACAAUAUGGAUUCUUUGAUUCACAUUCCAGGUCUGCUGAAGGUAUACCUGCCACUACAGACAACUGCACACUCCUUGAUCAUGUUUACAUAUAACCAUCCAAUGUCUGUGCUGAAUCAGGAGUGUUGCAAACAUACUUCAGCUACCACAAUGCAGUGUAUUGUGUUUUGCACUUCCAAUCUUCUUAAAAACGUUGUUGGUUAUAUCAUUGGUUCCAUUGACAGUUGUUUGGUCUGUGCGCUACUAAGCGGGGUUUUUUUUUAGGGAGAACUUCAGGCGUCUAGUUUUUACGAAUCUUUCACUUACACGCCAUGUACUGUAUUUAUGUAAACUUAAUAGCUUUUGAUAUUGAAAUACAGUCGGCUUCCUAUCAGUGUAAUUGGGCUUUAUUGCAUUAAUAUCAUCAUGACUGGACAUGACUGGAUGUAUUAAAGAAUUUGUUUAUUCUGACUGACUGGAAUGUAUACAUUGGUAUUGGCUGUUAUUGUUUUGGCAGCAGAAGGAAAAUGACAAGCGUGCCGAGUUGAAGAUUUUAACUCCAGCCAGGACACGGGCCAAGAAACAGCAAACAAGAUGGGUAAUGUUUGGUAAAGUCACAUCUGGUAAUGUAAUGUGAUGUGGCUGAAAACCACGUCUCUGAUUGCAGACCAAAAGACCAGGCUGACACAGCAACAACAUGUCGUAGGAUGACCAGAAGACCAGUUGCAGACCCUUGUGCGGACACAAAGAUGCAAGAUGAUGGUUCAAGUUUCUUCUGUAUUUCUGGUUUAUUUACUUUAAUGGACAUGGUCACGGUGCAGCUCUACAGAAAUGAAGAAUGAAAGUGAAUGUGUAUUUAUCCCUGAUGAGCACUCGGGGCAACUGUGAUGUCUU